CGGACGGGUGAGUAAUGUCUGGGAAACUGCCCGAUGGAGGGGGAUAACUACUGGAAACGGUAGCUAAUACCGCAUAACGUCGCAAGACCAUAGAGGGGGACCUUAGGGCCUCUUGCCAUCGGAUGUGCCCAGAUGGGAUUAGCUAGUAGGUGGGGUAAUGGCUCACCUAGGCGACGAUCCCUAGCUGGUCUGAGAGGAUGACCAGCCACACUGGAACUGAGACACGGUCCAG
rnacentral:rRNA from 1 species